GAUGAACGCUGGCGGCGUGCCUAAUACAUGCAAGUCGAGCGAACAGACGAGGAGCUUGCUCCUCUGACGUUAGCGGCGGACGGGUGAGUAACACGUGGAUAACCUACCUAUAAGACUGGGAUAACUUCGGGAAACCGGAGCUAAUACCGGAUAAUAUAUUGAACCGCAUGGUUCAAUAGUGAAAGACGGUUUUGCUGUCACUUAUAGAUGGAUCCGCGCCGCAUUAGCUAGUUGGUAAGGUAACGGCUUACCAAGGCAACGAUGCGUAGCCGACCUGAGAGGGUGAUCGGCCACACUGGAACUGAAACACGGUCCAAACUCCUACGGGAGGCAGCAGUAGGGAAUCUUCCGCAAUGGGCGAAAGCCUGACGGAGCAACGCCGCGUGAGUGAUGAAGGUCUUCGGAUCGUAAAACUCUGUUAUUGGGGAAGAACAAAUGUGUAAGUAACUAUGCACGUCUGGACGGUACCUAAUCAGAAAGCCACGGCUAACUACGU
rnacentral:rRNA from 1 species